UACGUAGGGGGCCAGCGUUGCUCGGAAUUACUGGGCGUAAAGGGUUCGUAGGUGGUGCGGCAAGUUGGGAGUGAAAUCUCUGGGCUUAACUCAGAGGCUGCUUUCAAAACUGCCGCGCUCGAGUGCGAGAGAAGUCAGUGGAAUUGCAGGUGUAGCGGUGAAAUGCGUAGAUAUCUGGAGGAACACCGGUGGCGAAGGCGGCAUCCUGGACCGGCAUUGACGCUGAGGAGCGAAAGCCAGGGGAGCAAACGGG
rnacentral:rRNA from 1 species